rnacentral:rRNA from 1 species
GACGAACGCUGGCGGCGUGCUUAACACAUGCAAGUCGAACGGAAAGGCCCUGAUUUUGUGGGGUGCUCGAGUGGCGAACGGGUGAGUAACACGUGAGUAUCCUGCCCUUGACUUUGGGAUAACUUCAGGAAACUGGGGCUACUAUCGGAUAGGAGCUCCUGCAGCAUGGUGGGGGUUGGAAAGUUUCGGCGGUUGGGGAUGGACUCGCGGCUUACGAGCUUGUUGGUGGGGUAGUGGCUUACCAAGGCUUUGACGGGUAGCCGGCCUGAGAGGGUGACCGGCCACAAGAGUACUGAGAGACGGCCCAGACUCCUACGGUAGGCAGCGGGGGGGAAUAUGGCACAGUGGGCGGAAGCCUGAGACAGCAACGCCGCGUGCGGGAAGACGGCCUUCGGGUGGUAAACCGCUUUCGCCUGUGACGAAGCGGGAGUGACGGUAAUGGAUAAAGAAGCACCGGCUAACUACGUG